rnacentral:rRNA from 1 species
AUGAACGCUGGCGGCGUGCCUAAUACAUGCAAGUCGAGCGAACAGACGAGGAGCUUACUCCUCUGACGUUAGCGGCGGACGGGUGAGUAACACGUGGAUAACCUACCUAUAAGACUGGGAUAACUUCGGGAAACCGGAGCUAAUACCGGAUAACAUGUUGAACCGCAUGGUUCAACAGUGAAAGACGGUCUUGCUGUCACUUAUAGAUGGAUCCGCGUCGCAUUAGCUAGUUGGUAAGGUAACGGCUUACCAAGGCAACGAUGCGUAGCCGACCUGAGAGGGUGAUCGGCCACACUGGAACUGAGACACGGUCCAGACUCCUACGGGAGGCAGCAGUAGGGAAUCUUCCGCAAUGGGCGAAAGCCUGACGGAGCAACGCCGCGUGAGUGAAGAAGGUCUUCGGAUCGUAAAACUCUGUUAUUAGGGAAGAACAAAUGUGUAAGUAACUAUGCACGUCUUGACGGUACCUAAUCAGAAAGCCACGGCUAACUACGU